UCGGUAUUUUUCUUAAAUCGGCUAAUUAGUUAUUGGAAUGCAUAUAGAAUCAUUCUAUAUUAAUCUAAGAGGGACUAUUAAGAAAGUAAGUGGAUUAGUGAGAAUCCAACUAGAUGGCAAACUAGUAAUUUUGGCAUGGUUAGAGGGCACAUUGGUCAUUAAACAUGGUUGCAUGAGGACUUAAGGCAUUGUUUGGUGGUAGACCAUUCCAAAAUCAGAAUUUAUGAGAAAAGUGCUUAAGAGCAUGGAGGAGAAAGAAGAACUUAUGUCCACCUUCUCCAUUUUCGCACCUUGGGUACAGCUCCACUAAAUCAGCUUCUGUCUUGAAGGAGAAAAACGAGUUUGAAGUUGAGACAUGCAUGCUGAAUGUGAAGAAGGAGGGGUUACGGGUUUGGUGAACUUGAAGGUGUAGUUUGUGUCAAGAAGAUAGUUCAAUGGCAGCAAGAACAUGAUCUUAACCUCCAUUGAUGCAAGGUGCAGUUGAGUAGUGCUUGGUCAGUAGCAGGUUUGGAUUGAAGACUUGGAAGUGGUGUUGGCUCGAAG